UACGAAGGGUGCAAGCGUUACUCGGAAUUACUGGGCGUAAAGCGUGCGUAGGUGGUUUCUUAAGUCCGUUGUGAAAGCCCUGGGCUCAACCUGGGAAUGGCAGUGGAUACUGGGAAGCUAGAGUGCGGUAGAGGAUGGUGGAAUUCCCGGUGUAGCGGUGAAAUGCGUAGAGAUCGGGAGGAACAUCAGUGGCGAAGGCGGCCAUCUGGACCAGCACUGACGCUGAGGAGCGAAAGCCAGGGGAGCGAACAGG
rnacentral:rRNA from 1 species